UCUCCGUUGGUGAACCAGCGGAGGGAUCAUUACCGAGUUUACAACUCCCAAACCCAAUGUGAACCAUACCAAACUGUUGCCUCGGCGGGGUCACGCCCCGGGUGCGUCGCAGCCCCGGAACCAGGCGCCCGCCGGAGGGACCAACCAAACUCUUUCUGUAGUCCCCUCGCGGACGUUAUUUUUACAGCUCUGAGCAAAAAUUCAAAAUGAAUCAAAACUUUCAACAACGGAUCUCUUGGUUCUG
rnacentral:misc_RNA from 1 species